GAGAUUUUUGUGUCCACAGAGGCGGAAGACGAAAGAAGAACGGCCUUUAAAAAGGCAACUGCUCAAUAAAACUACAUUUCCCAAGAGCCUUUGCGACACCGUUUUUCAAAGGAGCCAAUUGGAGACAGCCUUGGUGCGCCGAAGCUAUAAAAGGCCGUGCCGGAGGGGUGUUCUUUCUUUCUCCCACCCCCUUCCGUUAGCAUGUGGUUCGAUGGACGGAGGAAUGAGAAGGUGGAACGGCAUUGGAAGUGUCUUCUCAUGGAAGUCUGUGAACUUUGAAGCACCCAGCAGAGAUCAUCUGGAACCAUUCAGUUCCUAAAAGGGAUGUCCUUGUUGUGGUGUGACUCAGCCAGGUUAGCAGCCAAUCCUUCAAGGACUGGAGAUGCAGUGUGCUGAGCUUCCAUUCUCCUCCUGAAGAGCAUUCCCAUGUGGAACAGGCAGGUGCAAAGGCGCCUCCAGCAAUGUAAG